CAACCGCCAAUAAAACAUACAAGAAGAAGAAUUAUUGCGCAUGCUUAACUUUUUUGCUUAUUUAUGUUGAUGCGAACAUGUUCGAACACGUGGAUGGAUUCGAUUUCGAUGGCGAUGCCACCUGAGAUCCUGUGAGAUGACAGUUGUCACAGAAGAUGGAGAUGGGGCUUUCCUGCAGCUGUUGCUGACAUGCAAGAUUUUCAGGGGCAUUGUCAGCAAACCUAGUUUCAGAAAACAGGCUCACUUCAUCUGGCUGGACAGUGUCAUCAACUGGAGAGCAUUCUCCAAGGGACACAAAGAACAGUAUCGGGUGCCAUACACCUUGACACAUUGCCUUCACUGUGGUGAAGUCUUUAAAGACAACCCACCUGGUUACGUUGGUGAUGGCAAGAGGGGAGUCCUGCAAGGAUUUUGUACAAAAGACUUUCUUAGGUAUUGCUGAAUGGAUUGUUUUUUGAAUGAUGGAGGGGAAUUCCAAAAUGAAGAGGUCUAAUACCUGUAUUGUUUUUUACAUGACAUACAAUACAAUAACACAAAAAAUUAAAAAUGUAGCUGAAACUGUAAAAAGUUAGAACAUAUGCUUUUCUUCCGUCCUUGUGUGACCGUGUGAGCGUAAUCAACAUUGAAAUAAUAGAUGUGAAUAGGUUUUGAAAUAAAGGUAUUACAGUUAUCUGUUUUUGUUUGUUUUGUAUGUGUAAGAAGAUGUGCAUAAUAUGGGAUGCAAAGAUUUAAAAUGUACUGAAGUGAAGUAUUUGUCAAGUAUGGUGACCCAUACCCGAAAUGUGACCUCUGCUUUUAACCCAUCCAGAGAGUAGUGAACACACGCACAGCAAGUGGUGAACACACGUACACCCGGAGCAGUGGGCAGCUAUCACUGCAGCGCCCGGGGAGCAAGUGGGGUAGGUGCCUUGCUCAAGGGCACCUCAGUCGUUACCCGGCGGCCCUGAAGAUCAAACCGGCAACCUUAUGGUCACGAGUCCGACUCUCUAACCAUUAGGCCACGACUGCCCCCUUGUAUGUAUAUACUGUACGUUACCAAGCUAAAAAGGCACUUACUCAAAAACGAAUUGGGCUACUUUGGGCGUAUGCACUUAUGCUGCGUUCCAGAUGAAAACGUCACAGCGUAAGGUAAACAGGACACACAUGCGCAGUAAUGAAUGCUUGACCACAACACGUUAAGGCGCAUGCGCGCCAAAAUAUUCAUGACGUCAACAUGCAUGACGUCACUGCUACAGGCUGCAGCAAAGGGUAACUCCAUUUUUGAUGGUCUGGUCUCGGCUGUCUUUAGUCUCGGUCUCGUCUUGGUCUCAGACUUAGUGGUCUCGGGAUUUUAUUUCAAGACCACAACUGUGGGAAUUACACUAAAUUGCUGAUGCAUUGUCUGAUUUAAGUGUUAACAUAAUUCAUGUGAUUGGAUGUAAAACUUUUGGCUUUAAAAGCAUUCACCACUUGUUCCUUAUUUGAUUCUUCUGUUACUUUUGUUACUCUUACUGCUGGUAAGAGAAGAAUGGGGGAUUGUCUUAAAGAAAUCUGUCAACAAAAUGAAUACACACAAAGGCCUACAAUAUCCGAGAUGUGAUUGCAAAAAAGGUACUUGUAUGAGAUCUUGUUUUUUUAUUUUAUAACAUCUGAUGUGAUAUUGAUUUUGUAUAAUUAUUCAAUAAACCUUGAAUUAAUAACUGACUUGAGUUUUAGACACAAUUAAACACAAGUUUUUGUUCUAUUUUGGCUAGUCCCAAACAAAUCUACAACACUACCUCCACCUAAGAUUUUACAGAUGCUAUGGUGUAGGCUAUGUAUUAUUAAAAUGUUGUUUUAAAUGUGGGUUUCCCUAGUGGACAAAUAAGGUACUUCAAUAAA